rnacentral:lncRNA from 1 species
UUUUAAGCAUCUACUAUAUUUCAGGCACUGUUUCGGAUGCCAGGGAUAGAGCAGUGGCCAUGCAAACAAGGUCCCUGCUCUCAGGGAGCUCAUGUCUAGUGGGACAGAGAUAACAAACAGGAAAAGAAAUAAAUAUUUCCAGAUAGGGCUAAGUGGUAUGAAUGAACUAGGCCAGGAUAGGUUGUUUUAUGUUGUUUUGUUUUGUCUGUUUGUUUGGUUUGUCUUUUUUUAAGGCAGGCUGGUCAGGGAAGGUCACGCUAAGGAGGUGACACUUGAGCCAAGGUCUAAAUUGUUGCUUGUACACCAAGGGCACCUAGAGGUCUGGGCUGGGUGCCUGGAGGCAUCCAAAGUAACCAGAAUGAUCUAUCUCCUGCUGAUGCUCAUCCAGAACAAAUUCUCACCCUUUCUCAACAAGCAAAGGAGGGCUUGAAUCCAAGAGAAAAUAAUUUCCUGGCAUCAGCAAGGUCCACAGCCUGCUCCAAUCAAGUUGCCUUCCAAAUGCCAGAAAGCUGAGGUACCCAAGCACCAGGACCCAGGAGAUAAGUUGGCUACAUGCCAGAGCUCUCAGGACAGCAACCUGCUUGCAUAUGCGUUUACAUAACCGUUUGCAAAUAAAAAACCAAUGACAAACAUUUCCCAAACUGGCCCUAGCCUGUGGACCAGACCUUGACCAGCAGCACUUCUGGGCAGUGUUUGUCCCUGGGGGCGAAGAGGACUGAUGGUCAGAGCCGACCCUUAUUCCACUCUUACUCUCUGGCACAGCACCCUCGUGAACCCCCCAGCACAUAGUUGCAUAUUCUUCGUUGUGGGUCCUUCUACUUGUGACAUGUGGGACGCUGCCUCAGCGUGGUUUGAUGAGCAGCGUCAUGUCCCCGCCCAGGAUUCGAACCAACGAAACACUACGCCGCCUGCAGCGGAGCGCGAGCGAACUUAACCACUCGGCCACGGGGCCAGCCCCCCAAAUGCUUUUGAAAGGACAGUGGCACUCUUCAGGGUGUCCCCUUGCUCCUGCUCACCUUCUAUAUGCAUGCAUGGUCCACCGCCACACCAUGCUGUGAAGUGACAAGAAUGACAGCAUUUGCAGGAAAUGUACAUUGCAACAUGACAAAGCAAGAAACACCUUUUGCAAAAAGCGUUAGAAGUUAAAGGACUGGCUGGUAAUGCCUCGGACAUCAGUUCUUAUCCUUCUGCUUUUGCAGUUGCUGAAUGUUGAAACAAGUCAGCUUGAAGUCGGAAAUGAGACAUCUGACCCACCUUCGGACUCUGCCUGGACCGCAGACCCCACAGGCAGGUAGUAGAUGAUGGCGAUGGAGACUUGCGCCCUGGAGCCAGACUGCAGCCUGGCUUUGCCUCUUUCUGUCUCAGUGAUCUCAGGUAAGUUAUUUAAUCCCCCUGUGACUCAGUUUCCUCUUCUGUCUGAGAGGAGUGAAAAUAAUUCUUAGCUCACAUGGCUACGGAGAGGAUUAACUUAGCUUCAGCGCAGCACUUUGCAAGCUGUUACAGUGCUUCCCUGAGGGUCCCUUCUUG